rnacentral:rRNA from 1 species
AUUGAACGCUGGCGGCAGGCUUAACACAUGCAAGUCGAGCGGUAACAGAGAGAAGCUUGCUUCUCUGCUGACGAGCGGCGGACGGGUGAGUAAUGCCUAGGAAUCUGCCUAGUAGUGGGGGAUAACUUGCCGAAAGGUAAGCUAAUACCGCAUACGUCCUACGGGAGAAAGGAGGGGACCUUCGGGCCUUUCGCUAUUAGAUGAGCCUAGGUCGGAUUAGUUAGUUGGUGAGGUAAUGGCUCACCAAGACCGCGAUCCGUAACUGGUCUGAGAGGAUGAUCAGUCACACUGGAACGGAGACACGGUCCAGACGCCUACGGGAGGCAGCAGGAGGGAAUAUUGGACAAGGGGGGGGAACCCUGAUCCAGCCAUGCCGCGUGUGUGAAGAAGGUCUUAGGAUUGUAAAGAACUUUAAGUUGGGAGGAAGAGCAGUUAACUAAUAUUUGACUGUUUUGACGUUACCGACAGAAUAAGCACCGGCUAACUUCGUG